rnacentral:lncRNA from 1 species
UUUGGAUCUCCUGUUUGUUGAAAUGGUCUGCAUUCAGUCUGCUUUGUGUUACAUUCAGUUCUUCUCUCAUUUGUUGCAGUUUCUUCUCAACAGAGGAGUGUUCCUUGUGAAUGUGUCUGGUAAUUUGUUCAAGUUUUUUCAGUUUGCUCUAAAUAGAGUGCAUAGUGUAUCCUUGAUGCUGUUGGCUCCAAAUUCUCUGAACUGCUUCCCUGUAAUCCUUUUGCUGCAUAACUGUUGUGACUA